GGGCGAAUGGUUUAGUGGUAUAAUACUCCCUUAGCAUCUUGAGAGAUUGGGAGUGGUCCGGGGUUCGAUUCCCCGUUUGUCCA
rnacentral:tRNA from 2 species